rnacentral:misc_RNA from 1 species
GAUGAAGAACGUAGCGAAAUGCGAUAAGUAAUGUGAAUUGCAGAAUUCAGUGAAUCAUCGAAUCUUUGAACGCACAUUGCGCCCGCCAGUAUUCUGGCGGGCAUGCCUGUCCGAGCGUCAUUUCAACCAUCAAGCCCCCGGCUUGUGUUGGGGACCUGCGGCUGCCGCAGGCCCUGAAAAGCAGUGGCGGGCUCGCUGUCACACCGAGCGUAGUAGCAUACAUCUCGCUCUGGGCGUGCUGCGGGUUCCGGCCGUUAAACCACCUUCAUAACCCAAGGUUGACCUCGGAUCAGGUAGGAAGACCCGCUGAACUUAAGCAUAUCAAUAAGCGGAAGA